ACAGAGGUCCCAAGCGUUGUUCGGAUUCACUGGGCGUAAAGGGUGCGUAGGUGGCAUGUUAAGUUUGAUGUGAAAUCCCCGGGCUUAACCUGGGAACUGCAUUGGUGACUGCAAGGCUUGAGUGUGUCAGAGGGAGGUGGAAUUCCGCGUGUAGCAGUGAAAUGCGUAGAUAUGCGGAGGAACACCGAUGGCGAAGGCAGCCUCCUGGGAUAACACUGACGCUCAUGCACGAAAGCGUGGGGAGCAAACAGGA
rnacentral:rRNA from 1 species